rnacentral:rRNA from 1 species
UGCAAGUCGGACGGGAUUGGAACCAGAGCUUGCUCUGGUUCCGUGAGAGUGGCGCACGGGUGCGUAACGCGUGAGCAACCUACCUCUAUCAGGGGGAUAGCCUCUCGAAAGAGAGAUUAACACCGCAUAAUAUAAUCUACCGGCAUCGGGAGAUUAUUAAAUAUUUAUAGGAUAGAGAUGGGCUCGCGUGACAUUAGCUAGUUGGUAGGGUAACGGCUUACCAAGGCGACGAUGUCUAGGGGCUCUGAGAGGAGAAUCCCCCACACUGGUACUGAGACACGGACCAGACUCCUACGGGAGGCAGCAGUAAGGAAUAUUGGUCAAUGGGCGGAAGCCUGAACCACCCAUGCCGCGUGCAGGAUGACUGCCCUAUGGGUUGUAAACUGCUUUUGUCCAGGAAUAAACCUAGAUACGAGUAUCUAGCUGAAUGUACUGGAAGAAUAAGGAUCGGCUAACUCCGUGCCAGCAGCCGCGGUAAUACGGAGGAUCCGAGCGUUAUCCGGAUUUAUUGGGUUUAAAGGGUGCGUAGGCGGCCUAUUAAGUCAGGGGUGAAAUACGGUGGCUCAACCAUCGCAGUGCCUUUGAUACUGAUGGGCUUGAAUCCAUUUGAAGUGGGCGGAAUAAGACAAGUAGCGGUGAAAUGCAUAGAUAUGUCUUAGAACUCCGAUUGCGAAGGCAGCUCACUAAGCUGGUAUUGACGCUGAUGCACGAAAGCGUGGGGAUCGAACAGGAUUAGAUACCCUGGUAGUCCACGCCCUAAACGAUGAUAACUCGAUGUUGGCGAUACACAGCCAGCGUCUUAGCGAAAGCGUUAAUUUAUCCACCUGGGGAGUACGCCCGCAAGGGUGAAACUCAAAGGAAUUGACGGGGGCCCGCACAAGCGGAGGACAUGUGGUUUAAUUCCAUGAUACGCGAGGACCUUACCC